AGCAGCCGCGGUAAUUCCAGCUCCAAUAGCGUAUAUUAAAGUUGUUGCAGUUAAAAAGCUCGUAGUUGAAUUUCGGGAUCAAUAUGUUGGUCGUGCCUCGGUACGUACUAGCAUAUUGGUUUCUCCUUUCUGAAGAACCAUGAUGUCAUUUAUUUGGUGUCGUGGGGAAUCAGGACUGUUACUUUGAAAAAAUUAGAGUGUUUAAAGCAGGCUCACGCUUGAAUACAUUAGCAUGGAAUAAUGAAAUAGGACGUUUGAUUCUAUUUUGUUGGUUUCUAGGAUCGACGUAAUGAUUAAUAGGGAUAGUUGGGGGCAUUAGUAUUCAAUUGUCAGAGGUGAAAUUCUUGGAUUUAUUGAAGACUAACUACUGCGAAAGCAUUUGCCAAGGAUGUUUUCAUUAAUCAAGAACGAAAGUUAGGGGAUCGAAGACGAUCAGAUACCGUCGUAGUCUUAACCAUAAACUAUGCCGACUAGGGAUCGGAUGAUUUAAUUUUU
rnacentral:misc_RNA from 1 species